ACAAAUCCAAUUAAUACAAACACAUUUGUGAAAUUUUUAAAUAAAGUCAUUUUGGCUUUAUUUGUCUACAGACUCUGUUUAUUUUAGUUGUGUAAUUUUAAUUAUUUAAAUAUAAUAAAAAA
rnacentral:misc_RNA from 1 species